rnacentral:rRNA from 1 species
UCGAACGAACCCUUCGGGGUUAGUGGCGCACGGGUGCGUAACGCGUGGGAACCUGCCUUUAGGUUCGGAAUAACUCAGAGAAAUUUGAGCUAAUACCGGAUAAUGUCUUCGGACCAAAGAUUUAUCGCCUUUAGAUGGGCCCGCGUUAGAUUAGAUAGUUGGUGGGGUAAUGGCCUACCAAGUCGACGAUCUAUAGCUGGUCUGAGAGGAUGAUCAGCCACACUGGGACUGAGACACGGCCCAG